rnacentral:rRNA from 1 species
CCUACGGGGGGCAGCAGUCGAGAAUCAUUCACAAUGGGGGAAACCCUGAUGGUGCGACGCCGCGUAGGGGAAUGAAGGUCUUCGGAUUGUAAACCCCUGUCAUGUGGGAGCAAAUUAAAAAGAUAGUACCACAAGAGGAAGAGACGGCUAACUCUGUGCCAGCAGCCGCGGUAAUACAGAGGUCUCAAGCGUGGUUCGGAAUCACUGGGCGUAACGCGUGCGGAGGCUGUUUCGUAAGUCGUGUGUGAAAGGCGCGGGCUCAACCCGCGGACGGCACAUGAUACUGCGGGACUAGAGUAAUGGAGGGGGAACCGGAAUUCUCGGUGUAGCAGUGAAAUGCGUAGAUAUCGAGAGGAACACUCGUGGCGAAGGCGGGUUCCUGGACAUUAACUGACGCUGAGGCACGAAGGCCAGGGGAGCGAAAGGGAUUAGAUACCCCAGUAGUC